CGUAAACUCUCAGGUGUACACAGAGAGGCCCCGGUGAGGAUAUUGACCACCGUGUUGACGUCAUUACUCAGGCACGGUUUCUCUCUGUAGCCCAGGCUGGCCUCAAACUCAGGUUCCCCCUGCCUCAGCCUCCCAUGUCCGGCCUUGCUGUUAAUAAUUGCAAGAAGGAAACAAGAACCUAGAAACAAUGACUGCUUGAACAGCCGUGGAAUAGCUGGUUAAUGAUAACUCGUGCCUCUAUUAAAAAGCUAGAGGGGGGCUAAACAAGAUGGCUCAGUGGGCUUUUGUUUUGCAAGCCUGGAAUCUGGAGUUCAGUUCCAGAGACACACACGGAGGACCACAGACCUCCGCACACCAUCACGCACACGCACAUGCACACACACACAGAUAUAUGUUCACGCCUUUAAAAAAAGCUAGAAGAAUAUGGAAAGAUUUCUGCUCUAUUUGUUCAUCACCCAUAUUUAUGACGUCUAUACAUGGAUGGAUGGAUUAGGAAACAUUCUAAUAACAAACCGUGUGUUGAUCUGUGAGCUCUCUCCUAAGCAAGUCCCUCACGGUUAUCAACACUAAACCACAUUCGAUUUGAUGCUCAAUGAGUCAUUCUUAAUGGAAAGGGAAAAGGGCUUGUUUGUAUACGAGUAUUUACUUCCGGCAGGUCAUGGCGGCACACGCUUGUGCGGUGUGACAGACGUUUUCCUAGGGAGAUGUAACCCAAAAGUCUACUCACCCCUGUUAGGGAACCCAUGACAGACCAAAGUACGGGUAUCUCCAAAGUCCAAUUUUGUGAACCAUCGCGUUCUAACGGGGUUGCCUACGGGAGUGUGGGUGAGGGGUUACUUACAGGAACAGAAAUGACUCAGACAGCUGCAUCACCAAAGUCCACCGGGCACGGGUGACAGCUUACAAGCGUGGGUAGCUCCGGCACCCAGCACAGCCUGCAAGCAGCUCAACAGCCAGAGCUCUGCGCACACCCCUGGGAUAGGCCUCUGGUUUGGAUGACUAAUGGGGACCUGGCCAAGUUCAAAGUCACAGAUGACUCCUCCACUUCCUCCUCCUGGCUACCACCUUGAUCCUGACACCUGGCCUUCCUUACCAGCCACUUCUCAGAGCCAGGCUUGGGAAGAAGAGAGCGGCGCAGACAGCUGAAAAGCCGCUGUGCACCGUGAGUUUGGUAGGCCGGCUGCCUCUCUUGCUUCGUUUCCUCAUCUCCUCGUCUUUCAAAUGAGGAUAAGGCACCUUCUUCUCCGCAGAGCUGCAAGGAUUAAAUAAAUAAGCCGUUCGUAGCUCUUACAUAAAUACUGAAGAUUAGCUGUGUCAGCAAGGAAAAGAAAACGGCCAGUGUAGGGAGUUUUACAGUUGUUUUUUUUUUUCCUUCUUCUUCAAAGCCUGCUGUGGCAAUAUGCCUGUAAUCCCAGCACUUAGGAGGUAGAGAGAGCCAGGACCAUUGUGAGUUUAAGGUCAGCUUAAAGCACAUAGUGACACUGCCUCUUGACACCCAGAUGAAUGAAUGAGGGGCUUAACAUUGCUUGUUAAGUGGAAUCAAAGUCGAAAUCCCCUGACCAGCUAGAACAGAAAGUCUUAACACACACACACACACACACACACACACACACACACACACACACACCCUGGGGCAGACUCCUUUACAACCAAUUACCAAAAAUCCACAGAUAUCAGGCUCUAAAGUCCAGACAAAUAAGUAAAAGCCAACUACACAAAGACAAUGGAGAAUUGACAAAAGCCGCAGCAAAGGGGGGACAUUCAGAAGCAGACGUGGUAACAGGGGCUCCUUCCUUUUCUUCUUCUUCUUCUUCUUCUUCUUCUUCUUCUUCUUCUUCUUCUUCUUCUUCUUCUUCUUUUUGGUGGUGCUGUGUUUUCUGAGACAGGGUUUCUCUGGGGUGCCCCAGCUGUCUUGGACUUGCUUUGUAGACCAGGCUGGCCUCGAACUUACAGCGAUCCGCUUGCCUCUGCCUUCCCGAGUGCUGGAAUUACAGGCGUGUGCCAUCUGACUGGCUGAGUUUCUUCUUUCUUUUUAAAUCAUGUUUUGCCUGAAGAUGAGUAACCUGUCUGCCCCAGGUGAGGAAGCUACAAUUCUCAUAGAAGACUGCAUAGUGCUGUUUGCUUGAUGGUUAAUUAACAGGCUUAGCCACCAAAGAAGCGAGGCGGGGAGACCAUAGAACUGGGGCCAAGAAGCCAAGCCUGUCGUGGAUGAAGUACCGACUCCUCUGGUUGACCUAUGAAGUUCGCAGGCCUGGGACAGUCACCCAGCAGCCAGCUGAGUCUGAAGGAAUCAUGUCUAUGUUGCCGUGAACCACAGUUUGAACUCAGCCAAAAAGGAGAUGGGCAUUCUUCAGGAAAACAUAGUAGCAUCUACGGUGUAUCCCUCACAGUAUCUGUGAUGCAACAUCACCAGACGUACCAAAGUUCCAGGACACAGCAGCUAGUCUAAGGGAAAGGCAAACGAGCAGACACCAACUCCAAUGGGACUGUCACAGCUAGGGCUGAGAGUUUAAUUGAAGGGCUGUUCAAAACAAAAGAACAGAAAAUGUUUCAGUGAAAAAGAAAUUUUAAGAAGGACCAAGUAGAGAGUCUACAGACAAAAAUAUUAAAGUGAAGAAUAAAAUAAAAUCACUAGAGGGCCUUAAAACAGAAGAGAAGGGCUCAGGGUGUGGCUCAGUGGUAGAGCCCCUGCCUAGAAUCCCCCAGUGAGGGGCUGGGGUGUGGCUCAGUGGUAGAGCCCCUGCCUAGAAUUCCCCAGUGAGGGGCUCAGGGUGUGGCUCAGUGAUAGAGCACCUGCCUAGACUCCCCCAGUGAGGGGCUGGGGUGUGGCUCAGUGGUAGAGCCCCUGCCUAGAAUCCCCCAGUGAGGGGCUGGGGUGUGGCUCAGUGGUAGAGCCCCUGCCUAGAAUCCCCCAGUGAGGGGCUGGGGUGUGGCUCAGUGGUAGAGCCCCUGCCUAGAAUCCCCCAGUGAGGGGCUGGGGUGUGGCUCAGUGGUAGAGCCCCUGCCUAGAAUCCCCCAGUGAGGGGCUGGGGUGUGGCUCAGUGGUAGAGCACUUGUCUUACAUGCACAAACUCUGGGUUCAAUCUCCAGCAUGCAGAAACAAACAACCCUCCUCAAACUAAAAUACGUAUGAACAAAAAAGUUAAUCUUAUUUGAUUCAUUCUUUGUAUUUUGUGUGCUGGGGAUUGCUCCCAGGCCCUCAGACUUGUCAGUCACAUGGCCUAUAGGAGCUACAACCUCAGCCCCUUUAAUUUUAAAAUCCACAGCUCACAUAUGUAUUUUCUUUUAAGUAAAUUCAAGGUAAAGCCUAAAGAGAUGUAUCAGCAGUGAAGAAGUCUCAGUGUCAUUGCAGAGGACUUGAGGCUCAGCUCCCAGCUCCCACAUGACUCAUAGUCACAAAGUAGGUCCAGUGCCGGGGAAUACAGCAUCCUCUUCUGGCCUCUGAGGGCCCUUGUGUGCACAAGAUGCACAAGCGUGUAAAUUAAUGAAUAAGCAAGUAAAUAAAUAUUUCUGAAGAAAUAAA